rnacentral:lncRNA from 1 species
GCAACACACAAAACUAACGUCCACAAGGUCUUAAUCCUGGCAGUCUCGAAAUACCAUUAAAACCUAUAUUUACCAAUAAACCAUAAUGAUCUUAAUCAAGUCAUAAAUUAUAUCUAAUAAUUCUAAUAAAUUUACAUUAGGCAAUCUACCCUCUAACCGAACAUUUAACCUACAUUUCUAGUCUAAUUCUUAAACCCAUCAUAUCAACUAUUCCAACUGUAAAGAUUCUUUACCUUGGUAAGCUUGAAGGCAUGAAGAUCAACAAAAACCUAAUAUUUCCAAGAAAAAUAACUUGAAGAAAUUGGAAAAUAAAAUCUGAAAAUAUAAACAUAAAUUCAAAACUUUCAAAAGUUGGAAAUAUAUACCUUUCAGCCUUAAAAAUGAAGAUUUGAAGCCAAAAAUCCAAGUGUUGUUAAAAGUGAAGUAGAAAUAGAAAAUAAAGGAACGAAAGAGAGAUUUUUCUUUCUCUUUUCUAUGGUUUAGAAGUGCUGAAAAUUGGGGUUAGAAGUUGUAGGUUUGGUGCCCAAGAAGUUUGGAGAAGAAAGGAGUAAGAAAAGCAAAAAAAUGAAAAGAAAACAAGGAAAAUCACAUGAAAAUUUUGAUUUUCAUGGAGGUGGAAUGAAAAUGGCAUGGGAAGGAUGAGGAAGAAGAAGAAAAUAUCUGGUGGGAGAGGGUAAGGAUGG